GGCGGUAUAGCUCAGUUGGCUAGAGCACUUGGUUCAUACCCAGGGUGUCAUUGGUUCAAAUCCGAUUACCGCUACCA
rnacentral:tRNA from 1 species